CCACCACACCUGGCUAAUUUUUUUUUUUUUUUUUUGUAUUUUUAGUAGAGACGGGGUUUCACCAUGUUAGCCAGGAUGGUCUUGAUCUACUGACCUCGUGAUCCGCCUGCCUCUGCCUCCCGAAGUGCUGGGAUUACAGGCGUAAGCCACCGCGCCCAGUCAACUGUCACUCAAAGUCUUUAACACCCCAGCCCAACUGCCAUAUUUCCUACUGCUUCCAACACAGACUCCAACAUGAGACUUGAGACAGCAUUGGAUGUGAUCUUAAGGAUGAAAAAUGAAAUUUGAGAAACAGCAUUGAAAGGGAAAAAUGUAUGUAUGACACACCAAAAGAGCUAGUCGACAAAGACUAUGAAAAGAGAGAGACUCAACCUGGAACAAUCACUAAAGACAAACCAGAAGAGGAAACUAAAGCAAGAAUGGGAUUGAGAGAUAGACCAUGUUGCCUAAGCUGGUCUUGAACUCCUGGGCUCAACUGAUCCACCCACCUCGCGGCCUCCCAAACUGCUGGGAUUAUGGGCAUGAGCCACUAUGCUCUGCCAGCUCUUGAAAAUUGUCUCCCCAACUAAACUGUUGAUCCCAGGAGAAAACAUUCUACUCCUCAACAUGGGUCUUGCCUGAUUCAUUUACCAACUAUGACACUCCCACCCAGAGGCAUACAAAGAAAGGAACUUGAGAAAACCAUUCCAGUUAAAGCAAGUUGACCCAGCACAGUCCAAAAUCCGUGCUAUGCAGCACAGUCCAAAAUCCAUGCUACACAGCACAGUCCAAAAUCCGUGCAGAGCUCGUGGCACAGAGGAAAAUGGACAUAAGGUAGCGGUAACAGGCUGGUGACUGUGGCUUUUACGCAUUGCUUCACACAACCCUGUCCAGGAGUUUUACACACUCACUAAACAAACAGAAGGCACCAUCCAAGUCACUGGAGCCCCGUUGGAUAAAUACGGAAAGAAUGUGGGAGCUAUGUCAUGAACCACAAUGGUUUUGUGUUCUGUGUAAUUUGAAGACGAGAUUCCUUUGCUGUGUGUCACCUCCCAUAUUACCACUGUCGCCCAACAUUUCAUAACCAUCAACUCUUUGCCAGUGCCCACAUGCAAAGAUGGGUUUGUAUUAAAAAAUAAAUGAGAACAGCACAUUCUGAUGUGGUGUAGUAUAUCAGCAUUUUCCAUGAAGCCUCGUCGCCGGCCUUCCCCUUUUAGGAAACAAAGGACCCGUGACAGAGCCUACUUAUCCCGUUACAGCUCCUGGUGAGAAGGGCGAAGCGAUGUCAGAAAUAAUAGAAAAGGCUUUUUCCUUUGAAAUAUCUAAACGUUCAAAGAUGGGAACAGCCGCAGGGGGGAGAAUACUGUGCUAUGCAAGUUGAUCUGAUUUUGUGGACCAUCCAUUUCCAAUUGGGAAGCUCACUUACUUUCAACUUGAAGCAUCAGAAAACCAGACUUACAGCAGCUUCAGCCUAUAGGGGUUUAUUUUUCUCAUGUAACAAGAAGAACAGAAGUGGACAGAGGCCAAGUUCUCAAGGACUCAGUUUCUUUCUGUCCCAUCAACCUUACCAUGUUGGAUUGUCAUCUUUGUGCUUGUUGCCUCAUGGUGGCAAGAUGGCUGCAGCACCUCUGGAACUCACGACUGAUUUUUAAGACUACAGAGCCUAAGUCAAAGCUUGUUCUUGGACCCAGGAAAUAUGUCAAAUCCUUCCAGUGAAUGGUGCCUUUCAGGAUUGGAGACUACUCCCCCAGUUGCUGAUGGUGUGGUCAGCCCUCAGUUGUCAGUCCUCUUUGGGAAUUGCCUUGGAUGAAGAAAGUCACCUCACCCAAGAUCACUCCAACUCCUGGGACCCACAUCCAAUGAUUGGCCAAUAUGGGGACUCAAAGGCCUGGUCCCCCUUCCCCAACUUGAGACUACUCUGAAGGAUCACCCAGCUUCAGAGCUUCCCAUGGUUGAGACUUUUAGACUUCAUUGUGGUCCAACCAACCUCUUCCUAUACACGGUCCUGACUCCUUCACUUCCCUCCCAGCACUUCUUCUGUGUUAAUAUCAAACUUCUGUGCUAAUAACAAACUUCUUCCGUGCUAAUAUCUCUCGGUGUCUCCUUCCCUGGGAACUCAACCCAAGAUUGUUUAUACCAGCAGUGAUCCAAGAAAGAGAUGCCAACAUGAGAUUUUGGAAUUGGAUCACCUACCAUCCAGCUGGCAGUGCAGACCCCAUCAGUGGCAGUAGAAGAAGUACAUAUAGUCCGUAGCACAAGAUAGCAGUGAAAUUGUUAAAACUUUUGCCAAUGGUGAACUAGAAUGGUAUUCCCAUGGAAGGAAAUGCACCAGAGGGUGUGACCUAUCAGGUGGUUGAGAAAUAUGGGGGGAAUUACCACAAGGACAAUUCAAUUAGGUGGCUUUCACUAAGGAUAAUUAGCACUUUGAAAAAAAUAAUGAAAUGUUGAAAAGGAUUCAUCAGCAAUUGAAAACUGAGUGGAGCUCAUAGGGAUACUCUCAUCCCUUGCACCUGGAGGAAAGGGAAAGCUGAGGACCAGGCUAGUCUCAAACUCCUGACCUCAGGUAAUCUGCCCACCUCGGUCUCCCAGAGUGCUGGGAUUACAGGCGUGAGCCACUGCACCUGGCCCAGAUGAAUAUUCUUACAGCUCAAUCAUCCGGCCUUGUGAGAGACACCCACGUGCUGAAGAGCCUUUCUGCAGUUCUGCAUUGAACUCUUCAUGUGGCCCCAUCUAGCAAUGAGUGCGAGUGGUCGUGUGGCAAAGACACUUUGAGGAGCCCAUCCUGGGAUGAAAACCAUGGCCAGGGAAGAGGCCACAGCAGAGAGGCAGAGCUGCUGAAACCACUUCUGCAACCACAAGGACAAAAGUGCACCUCAUUGGUGAGGGAGCGCUGGUGCCUGCCCCCAUGUGCACACAGCAGCCCAUAGCUGAGGAGUCACAGAGCUCUUACCUCAAUCCUACCUAAUCAGUUCAGCCAGAACUGAUCUCUCAGCCAAGUCUGUAACCUGGCUAGAAUGUGAUCUUCAAAAUGUGAUCCUAACCUGUUUUGUUCACUCCUAUGACCCCAGCAUCUAGAACAAUGCUUGGCACCAUUGGUAGGCACUCAAAUACUAUACUUGGUACAUCAAAUAACAAAUUAACUUCUCCAUUCUAUGCCUUCUUGGAAGGGAUACAGGAUGGCAGCUGGGGAGAGGAGAGCACAGAAGAAAGAUGAGAACAGGAUCUUAGAAAACUUCUCUGGGGCAUAUUUGUAGGCCCUGACUUACCCAGAUCCUUGGAACGGGAAUUAUGGCUUAGGGAGCAGUAGGCAAGCCCUGAUCAUGGAGCCUGGCAGACCCAUUUAUUCCUUCAGCAAGGAUUUAUGGAACACUUACCAGAUGCCAAGUCCUGCUGUAUUCUCAGCCUUGCCAGGCCUAGCUUUCAUACUCUUCUGGCCCUGUGAUUUCUGGCUAGCUGUUAGCCUCUCUCUCUGUUCAUUCAUUGGUAAAUACAUCACAGGGUUCUUGAGAAGAUUAAAUGACAUAAUAUAUAAAAUACUUCCUUGUGCAUAGUAACUGUCCUGUAAAUAUUUUUGCUGCAAAA